rnacentral:rRNA from 1 species
UACAGAGGUCUCAAGCGUUGUUCGGAUUCAUUGGGCGUAAAGGGUGCGUAGGUGGCGCGGUAAGUCGGGUGUGAAAUUUCGGAGCUUAACUCCGAAACUGCAUUCGAUACUGCCGUGCUUGAGGACUGGAGAGGAGACUGGAAUUUACGGUGUAGCAGUGAAAUUCGUAGAUAUUCGGAAGAACACCAGUGGCGAAGGCGGCUCACUGGACUGGUAUUGACGCUGAGGUGCGAAAGCGUGGGGAGCAAACAGG